UUAAUCUUCGAUCUUUCUGCAAAUAUCCGGUACAGAUAUGUCUUUGAACUGUCACUGCAAACUACCACUACAAGGUGCUGCAAAGCGCUCUAAACCCAAAACCCAAGCUCUUCCUUUUUAUUUCCUAUUUCCUCUUCAAAUUCAAAACCCAGGUCAAUGUGGUAUGCAGUCUCCUUUUCACACUCUAGCAUAUUCUAUCCAAGACGCCCUUGGAGUGUUCAUUUUCUGCAGAAGCAGAAGCAAUCGAUUUCGACUAGUUGUCGCAUAAGUGCUUCAUUGCCAGACCAUAACAAUGGUGUUAAAGCGGAAUACACUCCUUGGUUGAUCGUUGGGUUGGGUAACCCUGGAAAUAAGUACCAUGGCACUAGACACAAUGUUGGAUUUGAAAUGAUUGACAGUAUUUCUCAAUCACAAGGCAUUGUCAUGAAUACAAUCCAAUCAAAAGCCUUGAUUGGAAUAGGUUCCAUUGAGGAGGUGCCUAUUUUGCUUGUUAAGCCUCAAUCAUACAUGAAUUUUAGUGGGGAAUCGGUUGGACCACUUGCUGCAUACUAUCAAGUACCCCUACGCCAUAUUUUAUUGAUUUAUGAUGAAAUGAGCUUACCAAAUGGUGUUCUGAGACUUCAACCAAAAGGAGGACAUGGCCAUCACAAUGGAGUGAAGAGUGUAAUGGGCCAUUUGGAUGGUCGUCGCGAGUUUCCUCGGUUAUGUAUAGGUAUUGGGAAUCCACCUGGCACUAUGGACAUGAAAGCUUUUCUUCUACAGAAGUUCAGCACGGUAGAAAGACAUCAGAUUGAUGCAGCACUGGAACAAGGGGUUGAGGCUGUGAGGACCCUGGUACUGAAUGGAUUUAGCAACAGCGUUACUCGAUUUAAUUUGGGGCAGAAAUACAAGUAUCACAAAGUUUAAUAGACAAACGAUAAGUGGCAAGUAUAUGAGCUGCCGCUAAUACGAUAUGUAGCUUCUUAGCUGGAGGAGAAUUUUCCUGUAACCUUCCGGAUUAGAAUUCCUAUUGUCAUUAGGAUCUAUUGUGGCUUGAGCCCACAAUUCUCCUCGGAUCGAUCAGUGACAUUUGCCAUUGGAUUGUCCUUUGAGACAUUGAAGUUCAUCACCUGAUUUCAUCAUCAAGCUAGGUUGAAGGUAUUCAAGGAGGCCAAAGAAAAAAAAAAAAAAAAAUCACCAUAAAAUACAGAGGAAUACUACAUAACCAUAAGCGUUUCCUAUAGCAAUGCAGUGAAACAUUAUGGAAAUGGAGAUAUCAUAAACAUUGAUAGCAAUUAUAGAAAGGUCUAAAUAUGUUUUAGAAGUUUAUAAAUUCAUGGAUUAAGUUUUAAAUCCGA